rnacentral:tRNA from 1 species
GGAGAUGUAGUUCAAAGGCAGAGUGCUUGCCUGGUAGGCAUGAGGCUCUGGGUUAGAUCCCCAGCACUGCA